UGGGGGAGGGGAGAGACUAACAGGACACAGGUGAUAUGAAGUGGGAAAUGAAAUAACAAGAAGUCUUCAACUCUGUGGAGGAAGGAGAGAUACAAGGAGAAGGGAUAAGAGACAACAUCAAGAAAUUCCAAGGACAGAUGAAGUACAUUGUUUUUCAAGGAAAAUGAGGAAGACUUCAUGUAAAUUGAACAAAAUGUCUCUGCCUUCGCUUAACAUUUCAAGCAGGAAGGAAGCCUCAUCAUCUUUAUUAGUGACACCACAUGGCUAUGUCAGCAGACUCUGGGGGUAGGAUGCAAGAGAGAACUCGGUAUGGUUGCUAAGCAAUACAGCACACCAAAGCAAGCCAGCAGCAAAUGAGAAUUCGUAAAUGCCCAUCACCACACAAAGCUUGCAAGAGUGGAGAUCACGAUAGCCAAGUUAGGGGAGUCUGCUCCUCUACCUUCCUCACGUCAGCUUCACACCUGCCUCUCCUCUAAACUGACAUUCUACAGCUCAAUUUACUCUAAAGCUGUCGUGUGGGAUUGAGCCUUCACACAAUUUGUCUUUUCUCAGCAGUGGACACAGCAUUCAUUGAACAUUCCAGAUAAUGAUCAAUGGUCCUUUGACAACUUCCCCUUACACGAAGAUGCUCAGGUCUCUUCAUGAAAAAAGCUGAACACUUGAAGAACACUAAACCACAGGCUUGAACAUGAUUGGAUACAAAGUCAGAUUAUCUUGUAAGAGAACUCUAUAGACAAUGUAACUAGUGGAUCUCCAGAGUUUCAUUCUCAAAUUAUGAUUGAAGUGCAAGAAAUACUUCCCUUGUGAGCUCAGUGAUCCUGAGGUGACUCAGACGUUGGAUGGGGAGCUUAGGCAUGAGAGCAUAUUUGACACACG